GGAAAUAUAUUAUCUAGAGUCCCGACCGGUACCCGUCCUACCUGAAACACCCUCAAAUUUUAUUCGAGGUGAACUCUCCCAAAUUCGAGGUGAACUCUCUCAAAUUCUCUAUCGGUGAAUACAUGUGAGUGGAGAAAAAAAAGCAAAAUGGGGGAUUGGGCUAAAAAGAAACUUAUGGAAUUUUUGUGACCCGUCAAAAAUGACAAUCAAUUUUGCAAAACAAAACAUAAACAAUGGGUUUCGGAUUUUUAAGAACCAAAAUUCUUUAUAAUGAGGGUAUAUACAAGUUCACUUCAUUGAAUAAAAAAUAUUGCCAAAAUGCAGGAAGCAAUUUCCUUUAAGUAAUUUGGAAAGCAUACCAAACAAGGCGCUGAUUUGCUGAUGCUGCCCAUUGUUUUUGUAUGUACUUCUCAAUGGCAAGAGCUGCCGCAGGCGUUGACGGCGGAGGUGUCACCAUCAAAACCAUUAGAAACAACACCACCAAGUCAAUGAUGCAAGUGGAAGUUUUGCCAUAUAAUAGUCGACCGCUGACGCCCUUCUCCAUCAAUUGUGUAAGUACGUAUCGAAACAUUCAUAUCGUAGUCAACUAGCUUAAUCUUCAUCUUCUAGAUGUAAAGAGUUUACUACCAGUCUGCAGUUCUGCAAGAGACGCAAGAAAAACAAGAAUACA